rnacentral:rRNA from 1 species
AGUGAACGCUGGCGGUAGGCCUAACACAUGCAAGUCGAACGGCAGCACAGUAAGAGCUUGCUCUUACGGGUGGCGAGUGGCGGACGGGUGAGGAAUACAUCGGAAUCUACUUUUUCGUGGGGGAUAACGUAGGGAAACUUACGCUAAUACCGCAUACGACCUACGGGUGAAAGCAGGGGAUCUUCGGACCUUGCGCGAUUGAAUGAGCUGAUGUCGGAUUAGCUAGUUGGCGGGGUAAAGGCCCACCAAGGCGACGAUCCGUAGCUGGUCUGAGAGGAUGAUCCGCCACACUGGAACUGAGACACGGUCCAGACUCCUACGGGAGGCAGCAGUGGGGAAUAUUGGACAAUGGGCGCAAGCCUGAUCCAGCCAUACCGCGUGGGUGAAGAAGGCCUUCAGGUUGUAAAGCCCUUUUGUUGGGAAAGAAAAGCAGCAGGUUAAUACCCCGCUGUUCUGACGGUACCCAAAGAAUAAGCACCGGCUAACUUCGUG